rnacentral:tRNA from 1 species
CAAAAUGUAAUUUAAUUAAACUACCUCGCCUACACCGAGAAAAUACCUGCGCGAAUCAGGUCAUUUUGA